UACAGAGGGUGCGAGCGUUGUCCGGAAUCACUGGGCGUAAAGGGCGCGUAGGUGGCCCGACAAGUCAAUGGUGAAAGCUCGACGCUUAACGUCGAGUCGGCCACUGAUACUGUUGGGCUGGAGCACUGUAGAGGCUCAUGGAAUUCCGGGUGUAGCGGUGGAAUGCGUAGAGAUCCGGAAGAACACCGGUGGCGAAGGCGGUGAGCUGGGCAGUUGCUGACACUGAGGCGCGACAGCGUGGGGAGCAAACAGG
rnacentral:rRNA from 1 species